rnacentral:rRNA from 1 species
GUGAGGAAUUUUCCGCAAUGGGCGAAGGCCUGACGGAGCAAUGCCGCGUGGAGGAUGACAGCCCAUGGGUCGUAAACUCCUUUUCUUGGAGAAGAAAUUUUGACGGUAUCUGAGGAAUAAGCAUCGGCUAACUCCGUGCCAGCAGCCGCGGUAAUACGGAGGAUGCAAGCGUUGUCCGGAAUCAUUGGGCGUAAAGGGUCCUGAGGUGGUUUGCUCAGUCCACUGUGAAAGUUCAGGGCUUACCCUUGAAAAUGCGGUGGAAACUAGUAGGCUAGAGUACGGUGGGGGCAGAGGGAAUUCCCGAUGUAGCGGUGAAAUGCAUAGAUAUCGGGAAGAACACCGAUGGCGAAGGCACUCUGCUGGGCCGACACUGACACUGAAAGACGAAAGCCAGGGUAGCGAAUGGG